rnacentral:rRNA from 1 species
GAAUCAGCCGGUACUCGCGAAUGCCUCUAGAUUUAAAGUUUGAUCAUGGCUCAGAACGAACGCUGUGCGGCGUGCUUAACACAUGCAAGUCGAGCGAGGCCUGGGGGGCAACUCCCAGAGUCGAGCGGCGGACGGGUGAGUAACACGUGGGUAACCUGCCCGGAAGUGGGGAAUACCACGGGGAAACUCGAGCUAAUACCGCAUGACAUCUCCGGGACGAAAGUCCUGGCGAUCAAAGCGGGGUCGCAAGAUCUCGCGCUACCGGAUGGGCCCGCGCCCGAUUAGCUAGUUGGUGAGGUAACGGCUCACCAAGGCUUCGAUCGGUAGCCGGCCUGAGAGGGCGAUCGGUCACACCGGGGAAACUUGAGACACGGUCCGGAUCCUCGGGAGGGGGGUGGG